CCAGACUCCUACGGGAGGCAGCAGUGAGGAAUAUUGGUCAAUGGUCGGAAGACUGAACCAGCCAUGCCGCGUGCAGGAAGAAUGCCUUAUGGGUUGUAAACUGCUUUUAUAUGGGAAGAAUAAGGCGUACGUGUACGUUGAUGACGGUACCAUAUGAAUAAGCAUCGGCUAACUCCGUGCCAGCAGCCGCGGUAAUACGGAGGAUGCGAGCGUUAUUCGGAAUCAUUGGGUUUAAAGGGUCUGUAGGCGGGCUAUUAAGUCAGGGGUGAAAGGUUUCAGCUUAACUGAGAAAUUGCCUUUGAUACUGGUAGUCUUGAAUAUCUGUGAAGUUCUUGGAAUGUGUAGUGUAGCGGUGAAAUGCUUAGAUAUUACACAGAACACCGAUUGCGGAGGCAGGGGACUAACAGACGAUUGACGCUGAGAGACGAAAGCGUGGGGAGCGAACAGGAUUAGAUACCCUGGUAGUCCACGCUGUAAACGAUGGAUACUAGCUGUUUGGAGUAAUUUGAGUGGCUAAGCGAAAGUGACAAGUAUCCCACCUGGGGAGUACGCACGCAAGAAUGAAACUCAAAGGAAUUGACGGGGGCCCGCACAAG
rnacentral:rRNA from 1 species